rnacentral:rRNA from 1 species
CCUACGGGGGGCUGCAGUAGGGAAUCUUCCACAAUGGGCGAAAGCCUGAUGGAGCAACGCCGCGUGGGUGAAGAAGGUCUUCGGAGCGUAAAACCCUUUUGUUAGAGAAGAAAGUGCGCGAGCGUAACUGUUCACGUUUCGACGGUAUCUAACCAGACAGCCACGGCUAACUACGGGCCAGCAGCCGCGGGAAUACGUAGGUGGCAAGCGUUAUUCGGAUUUAUUUGGCGGAAAGGGAACGCAGGCGGUCUUUUAAGUCUGAUGUGAAAGCCUUCGGCUUAACCGGAGUAGUGCAUUGGAAACUGGGGGACUUGAGUGCAGAAGAGGAGAGUGGAACUCCAUGUGUAGCGGUGAAAUGCGUAGAUAUAGGGAAGAACACCAGUGGCGAAGGCGGCGCUCGGGUCUGUAACUGACGCUGAGGUUCGAAAGCGUGGGUAGCAAACAGGAUUAGAUACCCCUGUAGUC